rnacentral:rRNA from 1 species
UUGGAUGAGCCCGCGGCCUAUCAGCUUGUUGGUGGGGUAAUGGCCUACCAAGGCGACGACGGGUAGCCGGCCUGAGAGGGCGACCGGCCACACUGGGACUGAGACACGGCCCAGACUCCUACGGGAGGCAGCAGUGGGGAAUAUUGCACAAUGGGCGCAAGCCUGAUGCAGCGACGCCGCGUGAGGGAUGACGGCCUUCGGGUUGUAAACCUCUUCAUGCAGCGAGCGAACGCGAAAGUGACGGUACCUGCAGAUGAAGCGCCGCCC